AGAACGAACGCUGGCGGCAUGCCUAAUACAUGCAAGUCGAACGAAGGCUUCGGCCUUAGUGGCGCACGGGUGCGUAACGCGUGGGAAUCUGCCCCUUGGUUCGGAAUAACAGUUGGAAACGACUGCUAAUACCGGAUGAUGACGAAAGUCCAAAGAUUUA
rnacentral:rRNA from 1 species